rnacentral:rRNA from 1 species
UACGUAGGUGGCAAGCGUUGUCCGGAUUUACUGGGCGUAAAGAGCGCGCAGGCGGCCGAGUAAGUCGAAUGUGAAAUCCCCCGGCUUAACUGGGGAAUGUCAUUCGAUACUGUUCGGCUUGAAGAUAGGAGAGGGAAGCGGAAUUUCAGGUGUAGUGGUGAAAUGCGUAGAUAUCUGAAGGAACACCAGUGGCGAAGGCGGCUUUCUGGCCUAUUCUUGACGCUGAGGCGCGAAAGCUAGGGGAGCGAACGGG